UACGGAGGGUGCGAGCGUUGUCCGGAAUCAUUGGGCGUAAAGGGCGCGUAGGUGGCGGGACAAGCGUGCGGUGAAAGCUCGGGGCUCAACCCCGCGUCGGCCGUGCGAACUGUUUUGCUUGAGCACUGUAGAGGCAGGCGGAAUUCCGGGUGUAGCGGUGGAAUGCGUAGAGAUCCGGAAGAACACUGGUGGCGAAGGCGGUCUGCUGGGCAGUUGCUGACACUGAGGCGCGACAGCGUGGGGAGCAAACAGG
rnacentral:rRNA from 1 species